GACGAACGCUGGCGGCGUGCUUAACACAUGCAAGUCGAACGGAAAGGCCCUGCUUUUGUGGGGUGCUCGAGUGGCGAACGGGUGAGUAACACGUGAGUAACCUGCCCUUGACUUUGGGAUAACUUCAGGAAACUGGGGCUAAUACCGGAUAGGAGCUCCUGCUGCAUGGUGGGGGUUGGAAAGUUUCGGCGGUUGGGGAUGGACUCGCGGCUUAUCAGCUUGUUGGUGGGGUAGUGGCUUACCAAGGUUUUGACGGGUAGCCGGCCUGGGAGGGUGAACGGCCACAUUGGGCCUGAGAUACGGCCCAGACUCCUACGGGAGGCAGCAGGCGGGAAUAUUGCACAAUGAGCGGGCGCCUGAUGCAGAAACGCCGCGUGCGGGAUGACGGCCUUCGGGUUGUAAACCGCUUUCGCCUGUGACGAAGCGUGAGUGACGGUAAUGGGUAAAGAAGCACCGGCUAACUACGUG
rnacentral:rRNA from 1 species